GCGCUGACGAGUGGCGAACGGGUGAGUAAUGCAUCGGAACGUGCCCAGUCGUGGGGGAUAACUAUCCGAAAGGAUAGCUAAUACCGCAUACGAUCUGCGGAUGAAAGCGGGGGACCUUCGGGCCUCGCGCGAUUGGAGCGGCCGAUGUCAGAUUAGGUAGUUGGUGGGGUAAAGGCUCACCAAGCCAACGAUCUGUAGCUGGUCUGAGAGGACGACCAGCCACACUGGGACUGAGACACGGCCCAGACUCCUACGGGAGGCAGCAGUGGGGAAUUUUGGACAAUGGGCGCAAGCCUGAUCCAGCAAUGCCGCGUGCAGGAAGAAGGCCUUCGGGUUGUAAACUGCUUUUGUACGGAACGAAACGGCUCUGGUUAAUACCCGGGGCUAAUGACGGUACCGUAAGAAUAAGCACCGGCUAACUACGUGCCAGCAGCCGCGGUAAUACGUAGGGUGCAAGCGUUAAUCGGAAUUACUGGGCGUAAAGCGUGCGCAGGCGGUUUUGUAAGACAGGCGUGAAAUCCCCGGGCUCAACCUGGGAAUGGCGCUUGUGACUGCAAAGCUGGAGUGCGGCAGAGGGGGAUGGAAUUCCGCGUGUAGCAGUGAAAUGCGUAGAUAUGCGGAGGAACACCGAUGGCGAAGGCAAUCCCCUGGGCCUGCACUGACGCUCAUGCACGAAAGCGUGGGGAGCAAACAGGAUUAGAUACCC
rnacentral:rRNA from 1 species